rnacentral:rRNA from 1 species
GACGAGGGGUCCUAGCGUUGUUCGGAAUCACUGGGCGUAAAGCGUAUGUAGGCGGGCUUUUAAGUCAGGUGUGAAAUCCCAUGGCUCAACCAUGGAAUUGCAUUUGAAACUGGAAGUCUUGAGUGUGGGAGAGGUUGGUAGAAUACCUGGUGUAGUGGUGAAAUACGUAGAUAUAAGGUGGAAUACCGGUGGCGAAGGCGGCCAAUUGGCCCAACACUGACGCUGAGAUACGAAAGCGUGGGGAUCAAACAGG